CAUUAAGAAGCUAGUAGCACUAACCUUUUAAGUUAGAGAUAGAGAAAUAGGAAUUUCUCCUUAAUGA
rnacentral:tRNA from 1 species